UACGGAGGGUGCAAGCGUUAUCCGGAUUCACUGGGUUUAAAGGGUGCGUAGGUGGGCAGUUAAGUCAGUGGUGAAAUCUCCGGGCUCAACCCGGAAACUGCCAUUGAUACUAUCUGUCUUGAAUAUCGUGGAGGUAAGCGGAAUAUGUCAUGUAGCGGUGAAAUGCUUAGAUAUGACAUAGAACACCAAUUGCGAAGGCAGCUUACUACCCGAAUAUUGACACUGAGGCACGAAAGCGUGGGGAGCGAACAGG
rnacentral:rRNA from 1 species